rnacentral:rRNA from 1 species
UAGGGAAUAUUGCACAAUGGGCGCAAGCCUGAUCCAGCCAUGCCGCGUGGAUGAUGAAGGCCUUAGGGUUGUAAAAUCCUUUUCGUUGGGGACGAUAAUGACGGUACCCAAAGAAGAAGCUCCGGCUAACUUCGUGCCAGCAGCCGCGGUAAUACGAAGGGGGCUAGCGUUGUUCGGAUUUACUGGGCGUAAAGCGCGUGUAGGCGGGUCGUUAAGUUGGGGGUGAAAUCCCGAGGCUCAACCUCGGAACUGCCUUCAAAACUGGCGACCUGGACUCAAGCAGAGGCAAGUGGAAUUGCGAGUGUAGAGGUGAAAUUCGUAGAUAUUCGCAGGAACACCAGUGGCGAAGGCGACUUGCUGGGCUUGUAGUGACGCUGAGACGCGAAAGCGUGGGGAGCAAACAGGAUUAGAUACCCUAGUAGUCCCUGAGCGGGCUGGCAAGGCGCAU